rnacentral:rRNA from 1 species
AUUGAACGCUGGCGGCAUGCCUUACACAUGCAAGUCGAACGGCAGCGGACCUUCGGGUGCCGGCGAGUGGCGAACGGGUGAGUAAUGCAUCGGAACGUACCUUUCAGUGGGGGAUAACGUAGCGAAAGUUACGCUAAUACCGCAUAUUCUGUGAGCAGGAAAGCAGGGGAUCGCAAGACCUUGCGCUGAUUGAGCGGCCGAUGUCAGAUUAGCUAGUUGGUGAGGUAAAGGCUCACCAAGGCGACGAUCUGUAGCGGGUCUGAGAGGAUGAUCCGCCACACUGGAACUGAGACACGGUCCAGACUCCUACGGGAGGCAGCAGUGGGGAAUUUUGGACAAUGGGGGCAACCCUGAUCCAGCCAUGCCGCGUGAGUGAAGAAGGCCUUCGGGUUGUAAAGCUCUUUCGGCCGGGAAGAAAUCGCACGGGCUAAUACCCUGUGUGGAUGACGGUACCGGAAUAAGAAGCACCGGCUAACUACGUGCCAGCAGCCGCCGCCGUAA